AGCCAAAUCCUUAACCCGAUCGUAAAAACAAGCCAUUGUCACUAUCAAUUUCGCAUUGGCAGCUUUGGCCUGUUUAGCAAUUUCCACAGCCGUGUAAAAAGGAUUGGCUGCUGUCAUGAUGGCGCCCCGGUAAGACGCGCCAAGGAAGGUGAAGACAAACUCCGGGGAAUUGGGAAGUAAAUUCAUGACAACAUCACCCUUCUUAAUACCAAGGUUGUGUAGGCCAGCGGCGACUCGACGGGCUGUUAGCUGAACGUCAUGGUAGGUGUAAACAUCCCCGGUGGCACCGUUGAUCAAACAGGGGCGUGAGGCGAAUUUGGAGAGAUUUUGGAAUACAUAGUCGUGGAGUGGAAGAUGAUUGGGAAUGUGAAUAUCGGGAAGCUUUGAACGGAAAAUGAAUUCAUUGGUUUCGUUUGAUUCGAAGGCCAUUGUUGUGACGUUAAAUUUUGAGCUUCAAGUAAAACAGAGUACAAACAGAGAGAAGAGAAAAUGUAGAGAUGGGUUUGGUUUGAAUUUGAAUAAAGAAGAGAAGGGAUUUUAUAGAGAUUAGAAAAUAAUAGAAAAUAAGUGUUUGGUUGGUGUGAAAGAUAAAUUGGAUGUGAUGUGAGGUCUGAGAAAAUAGGUAUUCCAUUUGGUUUGGUGGUCAGAUGAGAUGUGAGGUCUGAGAAAAUGGGUAUUCCUCUGAGUUCUCACCAACCCCCAAAGUGUUUGACUAUGAAGGAGAGAAGGAGAAAUUAUGGACUAUAACGACUAUCAUCUCUUUCAUUCACCAACUUUUAAAGCAAGAAUUUCAACCUUUACCUUGUCCUCCACUUAUUGAACCCAUAAUCCAAUCUCUCACACCUAUAAUGAAUUUAUAUCAAUUAUCAUUCAUCUAAGUCACCUUAUCUAAAAAGAUGUUAAUAUCUUUUUCUCUCUAGCAUCAAUGACCACACAUGUGAUUGCAAAAUAUAUUUUGGUUAACUCAUAUAUUUAGUUCUUAAAACUCCAUUUUAUAAUAAAACAGUAAGGUUCCAAAAAAAAAAAAAAUCAUACUUCAUUAUUGUUAUUGAUAUUGCUAUCACCCAAACAAAAUGGUAAAGUCAGUAUCUAUAAUCUUACCAAAUAUAAUAUCAACCAUCAUGGAUUGACUUAGUAGUAAAAAGUGAGAAUAUUGAAAUAAACAUCAUGACAAAUCUUGAAAAGUUUUAAAAUGUUCACACAUCAAGACUAGUAAUUCUUGUAAACAAUCAAAUUACAUCUAUUUUUUUUUUGUGAAGCCCACAUUUUAUUAUGAAAUAAUAAAUAACAAUAAAUAUAAUAGUUAAUUAGUUAUUAAACAAAAUUUAAAGUUAAAUGGUUUAUUUGAUACCAACUUAAAAAUUUAACACCAACCCCUUCCAAUUUAUAAAACAAGGUUGUUAUUGAAUGCAUGGGUCAAGGUCAAGAGUGUACACCCAACAGAUCUAAUUUUAAAGUUUUGUCCUUAGUAUUUGAAUUUUUUAAAGAUUUCUAUAGAUUAAAAAAUGCCUAUUAACAGUGGAAGAAAUUGUAAACAAACAAAAGAGGAAAAAAGAAAACCAAGAAGAUCGAGAGUCUGAGUAGGAAACAAAAUUAUAGUACUCAAAGUUUAAAAAGAUAGAUAUGAUUUUAUUUAAACUAUGUGAUGUGACUAACAAUGGAGAGAAUAAAGUAAAAAGGAAAAAAAGUUGAUAAAGUAAUUAGAAUGGUGAAGAAAAUAAUUGAAUUUAAUAACGUAGGUGGAGGGGAAUAGUCAAAGUUAGAAACAUUGGGUCGUUCAAAGUUUUGAUGCUUGGUAUAGUGAAUUUGUGCUCGUGCUUGUGGUUCGCCAGUUGCCAUGAGCCUUCCCACGUUUGUUUUACAUUCUACAAUUUUCUUUAUAUAUUUUAACGGAUGUUUUUUAAAUUAACUUACUUAUAAAUAUACAGAAUAAUUUAAAAAAAUAAUAUUUUUAAAUUAAUAAAAUAAACCAAAAUAUUUACAAGCUUUACAAAAAAUUAUGAAUUCUAUGAUAAUAAUUAAUAAACUCAUAUAACCGGUUAUGUCUGCUAUUGAUAUAAUUUUAAAAAUUUUGUUAUAUAUAUAAUCUUUCAUUAAAUUUGCUAUUUUUGAUAAUUUCUUUUUAAAAGUUUUAUUUUUAAAAAAAUUAAAAGAAGUUGGGUACCCUCCAACAUUUAUUAUAUUAUUAUUGUUUUGAAAAAGGAGAGUAGAUGUAUAUAUUUAACCAUUAUUGAAAAAAAUCAAAACUUUAUUAUUUUUUAAAAAAAGUAUAAUUUAUUUCAAAAGUUAUGAUUUAAUGUUGAAUUUCUGUAAAUAAUUCAAAAUGCAUAUACUAAAUAGAAAUUCUAUAAAAAAAAAUAAUAAUAAUUAAGUGAAGUUCAAGUUUUGGUGAUCUAAAACAAUCUAGAUUUCUUAAAAAUAUAUUAUGGCAAAAGAAAAAAAAUGAAGUUUAUAAAUGAGAAGAAAUAGAAAUAAAAAUUGUAAAUUUGUAACUGAUUCUUAUGGUACAGUUUAAUUUGCAAUUAAAUAAAAAAAAAUUGUGCGUAUUUAAAUUAGUUGAGUGUAUAUUUAAAAAAAUAAAAAAUAUUAAAAUAAUUGAUUUUGCUUCUAAUUUGGCGGCAUGAUUAAUAACAAAAUUUAAAUUUGGCCAAAGAAAAAAAGUUAUCAAAAAUAAUUUAUUACGCAUUAAUUAGAAAAAUCUUGUAAGUAAAAGCUUUUCUUGUGAGGUAUAUUAAAUUUUUUUAGUUUAACAGUUUUAAUUUUUGGAGUUUCAGGAGAUGGGUGGCGAGAUGUUUGUGAGAUAAAAAAUUGAUGUUUUAAAUCAUUGUAAAAUAUCUUUAAAAUACAGAUAACAUUGAUUUGAAAUUUAAAAUAUCUUUAAAAUACUAAAAAGUUCAUAACAUUAUUUAGUUUUGAAGUUCCUAGAUAUUUGUGAGAUAGAAAAAAGUGGUUAAAAAACUACUUAAAACAUCCAUCAAAUCACCUAAAAUAAGUAUAAAAUUGAUUUGAAGUAUGGUAUUUCAAAUUUUGAAAUCGCACCAAACCUAAAUAAAAAGUCAUAGCUAACAAAUUUCUUUACACAUUUUCAACUUAAUUGGACACAAAAUAAUGAUGUAAUAUAUAUUAAAAGUAGAAAAACUAAUUAAGAAUAUGAAAAAUGUAUUUUGGAUACACAACCCACAAGCUGACUCAAACUUUAGUUGCGGGGAAGCACACAUCUAUUCACACAUCCCACCAACCAAUUCGACGAAAAAUAAUUAUGAACAAUAUUAUAUACAUAACAUAUUCAAAUUAAAUUACAAUUGAGGCUUCACGUGAAAUUUUGUUGAUACACAUUCCAUAAAGACCCUAAACUUUAGUUCGGAUGAAAUUGUUGCUGCUGUCCAAGUCGUCCAAAUAGAUAUCGUUGUUGUUGCUGCUGCUACCCAAGUCACCGCCCUCCACCUAAUGGAUUGCUCCGUUUGUUGGUUGCGGGUUGUUCAUCGUUGUGCAAAUGGGAGUUACCUCCGAGAGGUCACCAUGGUGGAAUAAUUAAUAUAUAUAUUUGCCUCUGAAAUUAUAUAAUUCAGAUUUAAUUAUUUCAAUAAUAUACAAACUAACAACAAAUUGCCUCUUCCGAAUUUUAAAAGUAAUACACACAAAUCAACAAAUUUGAUUUAUAGAAAUGAAAUUAAAAGAUGGCAACGAGAGGAUAGAAAUUAGAUUUAACUUGCUAUCUAUUAAUUAGGAACGGAUUUAUUAAGGAGUGAAAGGUGCGUGUUUCUCACAUUCUCAAUUUUUAUAUUUUAAUAUUAAUUUGAAGUGUUAGAUUACCAUAUAUAUAUAUAUUAAAUAACGUUUUAUUACUAUUAAUUUAUGUCUCAUAUAUAUAGUGGCUUUGCUCUCCUUCAACGACCUACGAUUUUCCUUUUUUAUAGAAUGUUUGGUACGUAUGAUUUCUCAAUUUUAUUAAUAUUAUUCUUUUUCACCGCUUUUUAAUUAUAUAGGAAAAGUAUUAAUUCACAUCAAACAAAUGCUAGAGAAACAAAACCUAACACAUGUUUUCAACUAAAAGGUAAUCUUGAUUGGAUCUCCAUUAUAAAUUGUAUUAUAUGUAUAUAUAAAAAAAAACAAUCUAUAACUUUGCUUAAAGAGAGUGUCUUUUCAUAUGUUUUCAAUUUGUCUACAUCUAUAAUCAAUUUCCGUUCUAUAUUCUUUGUAAAAAUACAAAUGUGGAAGAAAUAUAAUAAAUUUCCCUAACAUCAAAAUAAACUGAUUUGAUAUCAUUAAAAAAGAUUGAGAUCCAAACCUACAAAAUUCAAACAAGCAUUUUCAAUCAACAAAAAAAAAUUGUAAUAUGAUAAAAGAAACGGUGAAUCCAAAUAGAAGCGACAAAGGAAACUCCCACCACAUACCACAUAAAUAAAAACUAGGAUGAACUGAUUUGGAUUAACUCUUUGAAAUACUUUCUUUUGAGAUUUUUUUAUUCGAUAAUUUAUUUAUAUUUUACGAUUAAAAAAUAACUAAGUCAAUCUUAAAAACUAAGAAAAGUAACUUCCAAAAAACUAUUUUUAUUUUUAAAAUUUGACUGUUGUUUUCAAAAUAGACUUAAUUUUUAAAAGCAAAACAGAACUUGAAAUAAAUAGUAUAUUACCACUAACCAUAUUCAACUUAUAUAAAAAAAAGGACUAAAUUACAAAAUUUGAUAUGAAUUUUACUUUUAAUAUACAUGUAUAAAAAAGAUCUUUCAAAACAAAUUUAUGCGUUUAAAUUUUGUAAUCCUUAGAACGUACAAGGCAUAACAACCAAAAAUAAUUUUAGAUUCUAUUAUAUUGAUAGAUAUUAAUAUGCUUAUAUUGAAUAGAUAAUGAUAGAAGUUCCUAUUAUUUGUAGAAUCCAAUUUUUUUUUAUAGUUUGUAAAUAUUUCACUAUAUUUGAAUUUUUUUUCUUAACUUAUAACAAUUUUUGUAAUUUAAUCUUCAAAUACUAAAUAGAAAAAUAAUUUAUAAAUAUGAUAAAAUUAAUUUUUCUUUCCACAGCUAAUAAACCAUGAAAGAUUAGUAUAGAGAUACUUUAACCUCUAUAUUUAAAAAUAUUUUGAACCAUUUUAUUGUAUUUAAAAACAGCUUUAUAAAUAUAUAAUUUAAAAGGAAUAUAUCAAAAAUAAAUGGAAAAUAUGGUACGGUCCAAUAGAAAGUUUUGUGAAAAGAUUCCCACUUAUUUAUAUUUUUUUCUUUUAGAAAAAUCCCCAAUUAUUUAUCUCACCAACAAAGCACAAAAUUGGUAUCAUUUUCUCUUCUCUGUAAAAUCCCUUCUUCUUUCUAUCUUCACACCAAACUCAUCUCUACUCUUUCUCAAACCUCAACAAUGGCCUUUCAAUCAAACCAAACUCGUUCAAAGCUUCCCGACAUUCACAUUCAAAUUCCCAAUCAUCUCCCACUUCACCAAUACGUUUUUCCAAAAUUUGCCUCCCGCCCCUGUUUGAUCAACGCAUGAUGUUCAGCUAACAGCCCGACGAGUCGCCGCUGGCCUACACAACAUCGUCGGUAUUAAGAAGGGUGAUGUUGUCAUGAGUUUACUUCCUAAUUCCCCCAGAUUAUGUCUUCACCUUCCUUGGCGCGUCUUACCGGGGCUCCAUCAUGACAGCAGCCAUUCCUUUUUACACGGCUGUGGAAAUUGAUUAUAGAUAUAGACAAAUUGAAAGUAUAUGAAAAUAAGAACGAAGUAUAAAUUAUUUUUACAAGAAAAUAUAUGAAAAAUAAAAAAUUAUCUUUUAUCUGUCUAAUAAAAAUAAAUAUCUUAAUUUGGAUUAUUUAUUAACUUAUUAUUUUUUUAACCCUAACAAAUAUUAUGGUUUGGGAUUUCUUGCCCAAAAUAAGUUUAAAUAAUUAGUUUGAUAGAACAAAUUUAUUUAUUUUUAAAAAAUGACAAAAAAAAAAGUCCACGUAUUUGUGAUACCAAUACACACAAUACACUACCAAUAUAUAUUUACACUUUAUAUUCUUCUGAUAAGCACUUGAUAUACGUUAUAUACACAUACACAUUUGAUACACACUUUAUAUACAAAAUAUUAGAAUUUAUGAUAAAGAUUUUGAAUUUUUGUUAAAGGUUGGUAAACUACAACACAUACUAUUAUAAUCUAAACCAAAAUAAUCUAUAACCCAAAUACAAACUAUUAUAAUCCAACUAUAAUAACUCAAGGAUUACAAUAACUCACUUUUUGCCUCAAAUGCUCGUAAAAAAUUUGAUAAAUAUAACUCAUUUAGAAUAAUAUCACAUUGUUUUAUUUACCAAAAUGUCACAUUGUUUUAUUUACGAAAAUGUUAUUAGUUCUACAAAUGAUUUUAGUCAAUAACUAAACACUUGGUAGUUGGUAUUAAAUUUAAUAUUCCUGAAUAAUACAUAUCAAAUGUAAUGGAAUACAAAAUUAAAUUUUUGAGGUGAAAAAAAUGCUAAGUUUACAAGGGUGAUAAUAGAGGAGCAAUUUAGGGUUUUAAUUGUAAGCACCGGAAGCUAAUUUUGCUCUAAGUUCUUUUCUAAGGAUUUUGCCGGAAGGAGCUUUUGGAAUAGCAUUAACGAAAAACACACGUUUUAGUCUUUUGUAAAAAACAACUUGUUUUGUUAUGAAUUGCUUUACUUCUUCCUCGGUUAUUGCACCGCCGUUCGCCUUCACCACAAACGCCACCGGCACUUCUCCCGCCUCUACAUCCGGCAUACUAAAAAACAAUAAGAAAAAUAAAAUUGGAUUAGAAAUGAAACUCCCACAAAUAUUUUUUAGCGAAAACAAAGAGCGAAAUUCAUUUGAACUCACCCAAUAACAGCAGCAUCAGAUAGUUUAGGAUGUGUGAUAAGAAGAGCCUCUAGUUCAGCAGGAGCCACUUGAAAGGCCUUGAAUUUGAUAAGCUCUUUAAGUCGGUCGACGAUGAAGAGCUCGUCAUCGUCGUCCACGAAGCCGAUGUCACCCGUGUGAAGCCAUCCUUCUUUGUCAACAGUCCUCUUCGUUGACUCCAAAUCAUUCAAAUAUCCUUUCAUGAUUUGAUCACCUCUAAUACAAAUUUCUCCGGAGGAAUUCGCCGGCAAUGAGGCGCCGGUUUCGGUGUCAACAAUCUUCAUCUCUGCAUUGCGGACCACUGUUCCACAUGCUCCUGCUUUUACUUGAAAUGGUUCUUUUGCAAAAGCCAAACUCAUGGAUAGAACGGGACCAGCCUCGGUCAUUCCAUACCCCUGUCCUAGAACCGCCAUCGGAAAUUUCUCCCUCACGGCAUCUUCCAAUUCCUUCCCCAGUGGAGCUCCACCGGAUUUGAGAACCCUCACGGACGACACGUCGUAUUUCUCAAAUUCCGGUGACUUAGCAAUGGCCAAAAAGAUCGGCGGCACAAUUGGCAUUAUGGAAAUUCUGUGUUUCUCAAUCAAUUGUAGGAGCGAAACAAUGUCAAAUUUCUGCAUUAUUAAAAUCGCAGCGCCAACUCGUAGACCACACAACAAAAUUGAAUUGAGUGAAUAGAUAUGAAAAAACGGCAACACAGAGAGGAUGACAUCAUCGGCAUGAUAAUAGAGGUUCGGAUUUUCGCCGUCCAUUUGUUGAGCGACACUUGUGAUUAACCCUUUAUGCGUCAACAUCACUCCCUUCGGCAAACCGGUAGUGCCGGAGGAAUACGGCAACGCCACCACGUCAUUAGAGGAAAAAUCCACCAACGGCGCAAGAGAUUCAUCAGCCCCACUCAAAACAGAAAAAUGCAAACAACCCUCUACAGCAAAAUCAACACAAACAACUUGAACACCGUUUUCAGCCAAAUCCUUAACCCGAUCGUAAAAACAAGCCAUUGUCACUAUCAAUUUCGCAUUGGCAGCUUUGGCCUGUUUAGCAAUUUCCACAGCCGUGUAAAAAGGAUUGGCUGCUGUCAUGAUGGCGCCCCGGUAAGACGCACCAAGGAAGGUGAAGACAAACUCCGGGGAAUUGGGAAGUAAAUUCAUGACAACAUCACCCUUCUUAAUACCGAGGUUGUGUAAGCCAGCGGCGACUCGACGGGCUGUUAGCUGAACGUCAUGGUAGGUGUAAACAUCCCCGGUGGCGCCAUUGAUCAAACAGGGGCGUGAGGCGAACUUGGAGAGAUUUUGGAAAACAUAAUCGUGGAGUGGGAGGUGAUUGGGAAUGUGAAUAUCGGGAAGCUUUGAACGGAAAAUGAAUUCAUUAGUUUCGUUUGAUUCAAAGGCCAUUGUUGAG
rnacentral:lncRNA from 1 species